CCCGUUAAACACAACUUCUAUGUGUUGUGUUUAACGACAAUUUUCAGCCUUCAUGCCCGUUUCUUCGACAAUUUCUAUGUGUUGCCUCCCAGCUCUCCUUGUUAAACAACGAUGAAGGCCAAAAAUAACAGAUUUUUGUGAAGAUCUGAGUCUCCAUCUCGAAACACCGCAAAAUCUGAGCCCUAACUCCGCCUUAAAGUUCUACAAAUUGAUGCCAAUUUGGAAUUGUUAAAGCAGCAAGGUAUUGAAGUCAAGGAUGCUGCAAAAGUGCUCCUGGUAAAUGAGGUAAGUCCCUCUUUUGCCUAAAGUGGCUUCAAAAGAAGAGGUUUGAUCAGUGCCAUGAUUCCAUUUCAUCAUAACAUGGUUGCUGAUUUAGCUGGCUAUGUUCUUACUAAAAAUGUAAGAGUUUAUAGGUUUAGUGAAUCAAUUGUAGUGCAAAGACACUGCCAAAAAGAAGACAUUGGUAAAUUCUAUUGUGGAAAUCAUUAUAUAAUGCUCUAUACAUCACAUGACAUGAAAUAUGAUUAAUAUCUAUGAUGAUAGAUUAAAUGAUAAGAUCCUUCUAAAUGUUACCUUAGUAUGCCUCUUUUGAUUAACAUGUAAUUGAAUUCAGGACAAAUUACUAUUACAAAUUCAAGGAUAGACACAACUAAUUGUAUGAACUGAUAUUUUCAGAAAUUAAAGUUGUAGUUAUGCUGUGCAACACAACAAGAUUAUAGCAAAGCAUCAAACUGAAUAAUUCAGCUAAUGCCAAAGUCAGGAAUAGAAUAGGAAGGGGGGUUGCUGAAACUCCAAUUCUGGAGCUCAAGGUCUGCACUUUUAUGGUAUUUAUAACUAGAUGCGGCACAAAACUUACAAUUUUAAGGUUUUCUCCUUAGGAAGUAGCGCAAUACAAAUUUCAUACAGAUACCAACCAAGAUAAAGCAUCAAAGAUAUCAAGGAUAUAGAACAUCCUGUAAAAUGUAAACUUCACCAUACACAGAAACAAAACAAAUAUUCAAUUAAAGCAUUGACUGAUUUGCUGUGAUUCUAAACCUCACAAUCAGGGAAAGAAAUCGAAAAAUAUAAUACUCACCAAGAAACUCAAAUACUUACCUCUUGAAAACAAACACAGAGUACCUCUUUGGGAAAAUAGAAUAGAAUUACUGAAAAAAAUUGAAACUACGACUAUCAAUAAGAACAAACAAAUUACAAUAAAUACAUAUUAAACAAAAACUCUCAUAGAAGAUUAAACCUCGACUUGCACUUGUCUUGAAAGGAUCUAAUCUCCAGUUGGAGUUCAUAUGUUCAUUUAGGAGGUAAUGAUUUCUGACACUUAGAUGAACCAUUGAGCAGAAAUUAUUAGAUAAUUUUGCGUGUGCGGAUGGUGCAGAAACCAAUUUGAAUCUUGAUAAUUGAACUGAAAAAUAUGCAAGUCUAAUGUUGUUCAGAGAUUGUAAUUGAUUUAAGUGCUUUUUUCCUGUAUAUAAAUGUCAUAUAUAAUUGUUGUAUUUUAUUUUCAUUCGUUGUUAUAUUUUGUUUAAUUUGUUGAAGAUAACAACCCAUGGGUCUGAUCCUUCUACUUUGUUGGUUGAUGCCUUCAGAAGAAGCUUUAUAUAAUGCUAAUAGUCAAUUAAAGCUAGAAAUGUAGGUCAUGUGCACAACAAAAAAGUUGGUUUUCCAGUAGCAGGCUGCCAUUCAUGCACAAGAUUCUUCAGCCAAAGGAACUGGUACAAGAUAUUGUUGCUUUUGGUUAAGGGAAUCAGAAACAAUGACAAUUUAUAUUUCUUAUGGAGAUGUGAGAUUCAAGUGGGAGAAUCCAAGAAACCUAUCACUUGGCGGGAGAUGCAUAAAGAUUUCCUGGGACAUUGCAUGCAAUAAAUCACACAAUAGGACUCAUGGAACUUGCAUCAAGUUUCCCGAGCUAAAGAUUGGAUUCUGUUUAAGCUACCAUGAUUGCUAAAUCUGAGAUUGCUUUUUUCUUUGCUUUAGCUAGGUACUGAAGCAAGUUAGAUGCUGAAAACACUUUCUUUUUUCUUUUUUUUUACUGUAGCCAAAUUGUAUGAGAAAUAUAGAAUAUGAGAGAUUGUACCAAUCUAUAUAUAUGUUUGAUCUUUGGAUGAGUUCUAUA